GAUGAAGAACGUAGCGAAAUGCGAUAAGUAAUGCGAAUUGCAGAAUUCAGUGAAUCAUCGAAUCUUUGAACGCACAUUGCGCCCCCUGGUAUUCCGGGGGGCAUGCCUGUCCGAGCGUCAUUGCAACCUUCAAGCGCGGCUUGUGUGUUGGGUCUCGUCCCCCGUGGACGGGCCCGAAAGGCAGUGGCGGCGUCCCGACAUGGUGCCCGAGCGUAUGGGAAUCCUCUUCCGCUCGAAUCGGCCCAUGCGGCGCUGGUCGUAACCAAAUUUUUUACCGGUUGACCUCGGAUCAGGUAGGGAUACCCGCUGAACUUAAGCAUAUCAAUAAGCGGAGGA
rnacentral:misc_RNA from 1 species